GUGCUUGCUUUGGCAGCACAGGUACUAAAAUUGGAACAAGAGACAGAUUAGCAUGGCCCCUGCACAAGGAUGACACACAAAUUCAUGAAGCAUUCCAUAUUUUU